rnacentral:rRNA from 1 species
AAAUUGAAGAGUUUGAUCAUGGCUCAGAUUGAACGCUGGCGGCAGGCCUAACACAUGCAAGUCGAACGGUAACAGGAAGCAGCUUGCUGUUUUGCUGACGAGUGGCGGACGGGUGAGUAAUGUCUGGGAAACUGCCUGAUGGAGGGGGAUAACUACUGGAAACGGUGGCUAAUACCGCAUAACGUCGCAAGACCAAAGAGGGGGACCUUCGGGCCUCUUGCCAUCAGAUGUGCCCAGAUGGGAUUAGCUUGUUGGUGAGGUAACGGCUCACCAAGGCGACGAUCCCUAGCUGGUCUGAGAGGAUGACCAGCCACACUGGAACUGAGACACGGUCCAGACUCCUACGGGAGGCAGCAGUGGGGAAUAUUGCACAAUGGGCGCAAGCCUGAUGCAGCCAUGCCGCGUGUAUGAAGAAGGCCUUCGGGUUGUAAAGUACUUUCAGCGGGGAGGAAGGUGUUGUGGUUAAUAACCACAGCAAUUGACGUUACCCGCAGAAGAAGCACCGGCUAACUCCGUGCCAGCAGCCGCGGUAAUACGGAGGGUGCAAGCGUUAAUCGGAAUUACUGGGCGUAAAGCGCACGCAGGCGGUCUGUCAAGUCGGAUGUGAAAUCCCCGGGCUCAACCUGGGAACUGCAUUCGAAACUGGCAGGCUUGAGUCUUGUAGAGGGGGGUAGAAUUCCAGGUGUAGCGGUGAAAUGCGUAGAGAUCUGGAGGAAUACCGGUGGCGAAGGCGGCCCCCUGGACAAAGACUGACGCUCAGGUGCGAAAGCGUGGGGAGCA